UGCCAGCCGCCGCGGUAAUACGGAGGGAGCAAGCGUUGUUCGGAAUCAUUGGGCGUAAAGCGGGUGUAGGCGGCUUGAUAAGUCGGGUGUGAAAUCCCUGGGCCCAACCCAGGAACUGCACUCGAUACUGUCUAGCUAGAGUCCCGGAGAGGGUGGCAGAAUUCCCGGUGUAGAGGUGAAAUUCGUAGAUAUCGGGAGGAAUACCAGUGGCGAAGGCGGCCACCUGGACGGUGACUGACGCUCAGACCCGAAAGUGUGGGGAGCAAACAGGAUUAGAUA
rnacentral:rRNA from 1 species